AUAAAAUGAUAUAAACGAAUCUAAUAUCGCGAUUUUCACGUAUAUCCCGUACGCUGUGUUCCUAAUAAAGAAAAGAAAAGAAAAGAAAAAAAAAAGAAAAAAAAAAAAAAAAGAAAAUUAUGUAAAAAGUAUCGGAAGCAUCUUUAAAGAAACAUUCAUUUUUAAAUAUUACAAAUACAUAUAUCGGUCGAUCAAAGAAGCUUAAUUUACGCAUGACAAAAGAAUAGAAUAUUAAAGAUUCACGGCAACGUUUCUCAUCUAAUAUCGAGUCAACGAGCGUCUUUUAAAGUCUCGUCCUCGAGAUGAUAGAAAGAAGACAGAGAGAAAGGAAAAGAGAGAGGGAGAGAGAGAGAGAGAGAGAGAGAGACAGAAGAAAAAAAAAUAUAGGAAAGGAGAUAGAGAGGGAAAAAAAAGCCGGGGAGGAAGGAUCAGACAAAACAGAGAAAAAGAAAAUGAGGAAAAGAAAAAAAAAGAGUGCUACGAGAAACGUGUGAAUGAAGAAAGAAGACAACAGUAGUGUAUUAUUCACCAACCCGUUCGAACGGCUACGAUAAAACCAAAUGAAAUCUUUGCGAAGUCCUUCAACGAAAGAUUAUUCUUAUCUCGUCAAAACAAUAUUGACGAGGGAGAUCUAAGGGGGCUAACGAUUAAAGGUGAAGGAAGAUUAGGAAACGGAAGAAAGUAAGAACGAAUACGAAGACGAAUUAAAAGAAGAAAAGAAGAAAAGGAAAAAAGAAACAGAAGAACAAGAAGAAGAAGAAGAAGAAUAAGAAGAAGAAAAAGAAGAAGUAGAAGUAAAAGUAGAAGAAGAAGAAGAAGAAGAAGAUGACGAUGAUGAUGAUGAUGAUGAUGAUGAUGAUGAUGAUGAUGAUGAUGAAGGAAUCUUUGGUGUCUCCUCGAACGGUCCAGGACACGAGGAGGAUGGAAGAGAGCAAAAGCAAGGCGGUGUAUAAGAAGAAGCUCGGAGCGCCGAGAAGCGGGCAGCUGCAAGCACGGCAGGACUUACCUCUGCUGUUUUUAGAACUCCACUCCCAGAACUGCGCGGGCUGAUCCGAGCCAAAACCAAAAUACCAAC